GACAUUUUUGUUCUUCCUCCUCUUCCUCAUCCUCCUCCUCCUCCUCUUCCUCCUCCUCAGACGGUGUCGGAGGCCUUCAGAGAAGCGAACAUCGCCGCCUCAACUGGGAAAGCAAUCAACUUUUAAUCCCGUUGUCUUCCCUUCAGUGAAUAAAAGGCAGAGAAGAAGACUGCAAGCUAGAGCUGCUACCAUUUCAUUACUCAAUUCAUCUGUUGUUUUUCAAGCAAAAUGCUGUUUUCUCAACCCUCUUAUUUCCUACUUUUCUCUUACGUCACAUUAAAGAGACUAUAUUUAGGCAUUUCAAGGCCACAGUUGGGACUUUUAUUAAACUAUUUUCUGACAUUUUAUCCAUACAAUAAGCAGGUUAAUCGAUUAAUAUAA